AACGUAGGAGACGAGCGUUGUCCGGAUUUACUGGGCGUAAAGAGCGUGUAGGCGGCCAAGCAGGUCCGUUGUGAAAACUGGAGGCUUAACCUCCAGACGUCGACGGAAACCGCGUGGCUAGAGUCCGGAAGAGGAGAGUGGAAUUCCUGGUGUAGCGGUGAAAUGCGCAGAUAUCAGGAAGAACACCAAUGGCGAAGGCAGCUCUCUGGGACGGUACUGACGCUGAGACGCGAAAGCGUGGGGAGCGAACAGG
rnacentral:rRNA from 1 species